rnacentral:tRNA from 1 species
GGGGUUGUAGCUCAGCUGUAGAGCUCUUGCCUCGUAUGUGAGAGGCCCUGGGUUCGAUCCUCAGCAUCACAU